rnacentral:misc_RNA from 1 species
ACAAUUAUGAAAAAUACUAUUUAUACUUCAAAAUUAACAAGAAAUUAUAUAUUAAUAAUUUUUUUAAAUAAAGAAUAAAAUAAAAACUGAUUUUAUCUUUUGAUAUGGAAAAAAGGCAAUCAAAUAUUUUAUUUUAAAUAUUUAUUAAUAUAUUUUAUUAAUAAAAAAUAAAAGAAAUUGAAAAAAAAAAUACUGUGCUAUUAGGAUUUGAUCCUAGCAGCAAAACUUUAGAAUGAGUUAACUCUCAGUUUUACAUAUAUA